UUCAGGUACCUCGUUACAUUUGAGCCCAGAAUAUGUUCUAAGUUUCUACAACAAUUGGAUGUUAAGGAUAUUGGACAGUAAUUUUGUAAAUCAUUUGUGCUGCCCAGCUUGUAGACAGAUGCAGAAACCAGAAUCUGACGCCACCGGCACCAGUUGCUGUUCACCGGUGCUGACCUGCUUCCACUUCUGCUCACCGACGUCUACGCGGAAACCGACAACUGACGCCACCAGCACCAGUUGCUGUUCACCAGUGCUGAUCACAUAUCCGCUCAUCGACGCAGCCCAGAUUCUACACCGGGUUUGAAGUUUGUCGUGAGAAGACUUUAGACACGGCGGUCAAACAGCACCACAAGUACUUGUCAGUCGAUGCAUGGAAGUCGUAGUGAAAGAGCAAGGAAGAACUAUGGAACUUCUAGUUUAUUCUGUGUUAAUCAUAUCAGUGACCAUUGUUAUAAAUAACAUGAACAUUUGAGAUUUGGAAUUGUGAAAAAAACUCUUAAUUUGGACUUUUUGGAGGCAAGACAUAUUUUACGAUAUGUUUGUAGUAGAAAUGUGGUUGUUAAGCCAACUCUUUUCUAAAUGGACUUAAAUCUGUUUCUAAUGUGAGACGAUAUGAGUUACUUAUGAGAAGUAAAAUGUUUAUGUGUGAAGUGUGAAUUUUGUUCUUCUGAAGCUCAAAUAUACCAAUAGUCAUAGAAAAGUA